GAUUGUGCGGAUGAUCUGAUUGCAUCUGAUUGUGCGGAUGUCCAUUGAUUGCCAGGGUUGAUUUGACUGAUCUGACUGGCUAGGCAGGUCUCCUCUCCCUCCCUCACAGCUCCAUGUAGAUACCUCCUAAAGUUGCAUGCUGGAUUGAAAGGGAAGUCCUUCCCCAAUAGAGGAGGACCAUUCUUCAGUCAAGGGCAUAUGAGGCUGCGCUUCUCUGCGAGAACCUCCAAACAAGCUCUCAGGGUCCAACUGUAGGUGAAGGUAGGGUAGUCAAGCUUCCAAGACUUAAGGCACAUCCAAAUAAGUAAUUGCAUGUGGCAAUCUGCCUUU
rfam:Canis lupus familiaris chromosome 6, whole genome shotgun sequence.